UACGUAGGGGGCAAGCGUUGUCCGGAUUUAUUGGGCGUAAAGAGCGUGUAGGCGGCCAUGUAGGUCCGUUGUGAAAACUCGAGGCUCAACCCCGAGACGCCGAUGGAAACCAUGUGGCUAGAGUCCGGAAGAGGAGAGUGGAAUUCCUGGUGUAGCGGUGAAAUGCGCAGAUAUCAGGAAGAACACCCGUGGCUAAGGCGGCUCUCUAGUACGGUACUGACGCUGAGACGCGAAAGCGUGGGGAGCGAACAGG
rnacentral:rRNA from 1 species